CCCGAGUUGCGCUGAGGGGUGCGAGGGCCUUCAAAGCUGCUUGCAGCUGAAGACUGCUUUGAAAUGCUGCUUCCAAGAGACUGGCGUUCCAAACCAUCCAAGUUUCAUGGAUCACUCUGUGAAUCUUUCAAAAUAUGUAACCAUAUCCUGGACUCAGUGGUCAGGUUUUUUUUGUUGCCUCCGGAUGAGGACUGUACAGAUGGCGAGCUAGCCAGGAGCCUGAUAUUGUGAAUAUUUAGGUUUUUUUUUAAGGUCUUAUUUAAAAGAAAAAUGGAGGCUAUUGAAGAAAAGGUGUAAAUAUUUCACAUGCUGUUGUCGUCUCUGGUAUAACAAAUAACAGAUUUAAUUCAUGUUACCAGAGGGAAUGUCAGACACAGGCCAGCCAACCAUCACCAGGUCAGAGUAUCUACAGAAACAGUCACUACCCAGUUCAAUAAUUAUCUUCAGAUUUCCAUUAUCUUGAAAUGCUGUUUGCUGCUAAUGUGUGUUGUUUUUGAUAAAUUUGUGAUUGUGCUUUUAUUUUGAAAAUACUCCAAAUAUUUUUAGUUUUAUGUAGUUCUAUUAAGUGAGGAGUAUGAAGUCACAGAGGCCUCUGCCUUUGACCAGGAUGAUGGUGAGCCAGAAGAGCCAGUUCCAGGAGAUACAACUGACCUUUUCCCAGCUGUGUCCAGUACUGCUUUUAUUCCUCCGAAAGGACCCAGUAGUAAUUCUACUUAACUGAAACCUGCUAGUUAGCUGCCUCAUCUGUUUUACAUUCUUUUUAAUUUAUCAUUUAUUUAUUUUUCAAUAAAUCCAUCCAUCUAUGUUCUAUACCUGCUUCUUUGAAUACAUAAUAUGCAGAUACAGUGUUAAAAAAAGAACAGAAGGGAGAAUAAAAGAAGAUGAAAAGUAAAAAAUGUUGACAAGUACUCAAAUUGUGGUGUAUAUAGGUGCAGAGGUGAGAAGACAGAGGGUUUGGGUUAGGGAAGGUCCUACGGUUUUCACUGUUGAUCAUGUUUAGUCUUUAUACUUCACACUUACCACAGUAUGCUAUCCAUCAUGCCUACUAUUGUAGACCGUCACUUUGAUGUUGGAUUAUCAUCUAUUUGAAAGCUGUUCAAUAAAUGGGAGCACCCCACGACUUA